UACGUAGGGGGCUAGCGUUGUCCGGAAUCAUUGGGCGUAAAGCGCGCGUAGGCGGCCCGGUAAGUCCGCUGUGAAAGUCAAAGGCUCAACCUUUGAAUGUCAGCGGAUACUGCCGGGCUAGAGUCCGGAAGAGGCGAGUGGAACUCCUGGUGUAGCGGUGAAAUGCGCAGAUAUCAGGAAGAACACCCGUGGCGAAGGCGGCUCUCUGGUACGUGACUGACGCUGAGACGCGAAAGCGUGGGGAGCAAACAGG
rnacentral:rRNA from 1 species